rnacentral:rRNA from 1 species
AGUGGGGGACAACAGUUGGAAACGACUGCUAAUACCGCAUAAUCCCUGAGGGGGAAAGAUUUAUCGCUUUAAGAUUGGCCCGCGGAAGAUUAGGUAGUUGGUGGGGUAAAGGCCUACCAAGCCGACGAUCUAUAGCUGGUCUGAGAGGACGAACAGCCACAUUGGAACUGAGACACGGUCCAGACUCCUACGGGAGGCAGCAGUGAGGAAUAUUGGGCAAUGGAGGAAACUCUGACCCAGCCAUGCCGCGUGAGUGAAGAAGGUUUUCGAAUUGUAAAGCUCUUUCGGAUGGGACGAUGAUGACGGUACCAUCUAAAGAAGCCCCGGCAAACUUCGUGCCAGCAGCCGCGGUAAUACGAAGGGGGCAAGCGUUGUUCGGAAUUACUGGGCGUAAAGGGUGUGUAGGCGGAUUUGUAAGAUAGUGGUGAAAUACCUGAGCUCAACUUAGGAAUUGCCAUUAUAACUAUAGAUCUGGAGUGACAGAGAGGAUAUUGGAAUACCCAGUGUAGAGGUGAAAUUUGUAGAUAUUGGGUAGAACACCAGUGGCGAAGGCGAGUAUCUGGCUGUCGACUGACGCUGAGGCACGAAAGCAUGGGGAUCAAACAGGAUUAGAUACCCUGGUAGUCCAUGCUGUAAACGA